UAUUUUCAACUCCCUUUAGUUUUAGAACAUACAAUCUACCUUAUCUCAGGGUCCAUUUUUAUUCUUUUGACACAUGUACACCCGAUAACUCUAGCUUAAUAACAUAGUAUAAAUAGAGAGAGAUAAAGAGUAGGAGGUUUCCUUUUGUCAAUGGAAGCUUAUCUUUCAUAAAGAUAGAGAAAUAGAAGGUUUAUCUUUUAGAAGAUAGAUGGAAUAGGACGAUAUUUAUAAGAGGUUUUGGAAGUGAAUCAAAGGGGGAAUGUCCCAUUAUAAUAGAUGGUUUUUUUAGUAAAUGGAACAAAGGUUAACAUAAGAGAGAGAGAGAGAGAGAGCUUUUUUCUUGGUUAUGUCUUGCUUGUGGUGCAUGGUGGAGGUCGCGACUCCCCUAGUUAUAUAUUUUCUUACUGUAUCUUCUCAAUCAACUCUUUCUCUAUCUAGAAACACUGUUGUACCACUGGUUAUUGAGUGUUGGUGAUUUUCAGCUGCGUGGCAUGGCAUUUGUUUUUGGUCUAAUAGCUUAAAUAAAGGAUACAAUUUAUUUGUUAAUUAUUUGUUCAUUAAUGGUCAAAAUCAUGUUUCUUGUUUAUUGUCUUGUCAUUUGUUGUUAUUUUUUUAUUUUUUAUUUUGGAUUGAUCUUUUGGUAGUUCUUCUUUUCCUAUAGCUAAUUUUUUAUUCAUUGUUGGUUAAAAUCAUGCACCUUGUUGAUUGCUAUAUCUAUUGUUUGUUUUUUGUCUUUAUUUCUUUACGUGUUAUUCUUUUCUCAUAGCUCAUUGUUUGUUGAUCUUUUGUUGGUUCAUCUUUUCCCAUUGCUAAUUACUUGUUCAUUGAGGUCCAUUCCUAAUGGAUAGGGAACCCCUUCUCCACUGAACUACCCAAAAAAGUCAUGCUUCUUUCUUAUUGCUAUAUU
rnacentral:lncRNA from 1 species